rnacentral:misc_RNA from 1 species
UGAUCUUUACUCCCCGAGGGUCUUCAUCGAUGCCGUUCCUUUGACGAGUAACAUCAACCAAAACCCAAUCGUGAUCGCCGGCGCCGCACGAGAUGGUGUCUGGUCUACUCUUACGGUAAUAGCCCCCAAAGUCCCCAUUUUUGUUCUCGUUAUCCGUCGCAUCGAUUCGGUCGUCGCCGUCCCCACUUUGUAGCUUGUCGGCGUACGUGUCGGGAAAGAAGCUGUCGUACAGCAUGUCAUCGC